UCUAGGGUUGGCUUCUUCUUCUUCUGCUGCUGCUGUUCAAAAUAAUUGUAACAGAUCUAAAAAUGCAGUAGAAGUUGGGGUUGAUGUUGAUUAUAGUCAAUAGAUUAGACCGACACUAAAGAAGAACUUGAAACAUCUGUCCAAGAACUAGUUAAACCUGCUGUUGAAGGAGUAGAGGAACCUCUUAGUCAAGAAGAAAAGGUCAGAGAUAGUGAUGGUUAUGAUAAUGAUUUUGACUAAUCGAUUGACUAUGAAAGUGAUGUGCAUUAUGAGUUGAGGAUAGAGAAGGCAAAUAUGAGAAAGUUUAAGAGAGAAAAUAGGAGGAACAAGAAGAAAGAAAAAGAAAAGGGCUUUUUGGGUGAAGUUAGACUGGAUGUUUGGUUUCAUGAUAUUGAUAAAGGUAAGAAAAAUUACAAGGAAAAAUUGAUAGAAGAUGAGCCAUAUUAUGAUAGUUUUGAUUAUGAUAGUUUUCAAAGUGAUGAUGAUUUGUUGCCUAUUUCUGAUGAUGAAUUUGAGGGAGGAAAGUUAAGUGGAAGAAAAAAAAAAAGCACUUCAAUGGUAUAUGAUCCAACUUGUGAAGUGAUUGUGUGGCAUCUAGGUUUAGUAUUUGAGAAUACAAAUGAGAUUAGGGAAGCAGUUACUAAAUAUGCUAUUAAGAAAGGGGUUGAGUUAGACAAAUAUGUGAAUGAGAGUUAUAGGAUAAGAGUUAGAUAUAAAGGUGGUUGUCCAUGAUUGUUGUAUGCUAGCAAGGAAGGAAAGAGUGGAAACUUUUCUAUCAAGACCUACACUCUAAGGCACAAAUGUACUAGGACAACUACUAAUUUUCUUUGUAAUUUAAAAUUUCUGUCGAAUUAUCUUAAAGAUAGAAUUAUAUCCCAGCCAACAAUCAAAGGGUGGGAGAUUCAAGAAUUGAUUAGGAAAGAGUUGGGUGUUUAUAUUGGCAAGACAGUGUGUUUAAAGACAAGAAAGUUGAUUUUGAAAAAAUUAUGGGGGAUCAUGUGGCUGAAUUUAACAGAAUUUUAGACUACAAGAAUAUAUUGCUCCAAAAAAAAUUCUGGUAGUACUUGUGUUGUGAAGCUGACUAAUUUAGAUAGUGGGAUGAAAAAAUUUCACUCUUUCUACAUUUGUUUUGAUGCUAUAAAAAAAAAUUUCAGGAGUGAUGUAAAAAGUGUAUUGGACUAGAUGGGUGUUUUUUGAAAAGAGUUUGUAAAGGUCAGCUAUUGGUAGCCAUUGCUAAGGAUGGAAACAAUCAAAUAUUUCCAAUAGCAUAGGUAGGGAUUGGCAAAGAAAGUAAGGCUACAUGGAGAUAGUUCUUGAUGAUAUUACAAGAUGAUCAUAACUUAGGAGAUGGUUCCCAGCUCACUAUUAUCAGUGAUAUGCAAAAGGUAACUAUAUUUAUUAGUAAAUUAUUUUUCAUUAAGUUAGGCCAAAAUUAACUAACUUCAUUUGUUUGUUUUGAAACUGUAGGGACUAGUUGCUGCUGCAGAACAAAUAGUUCCUGAAUAUGAGCAUAGAAUAUGUGCUAGACACAUCUUAGCUAAUUGGUCAAAGAAAUGAAGAGGCAUAGAGAGAAGGAAGAAAUUUUAGGCUUGUGCUCGAUCAACUUUUGAGGCAUAAUUUAAGUAUAACCUUGAAGCUCUUUCUAAAUUGGGUAGAGGUAUUAUUGAAGAUCUGAUAGAUUAAAACAAAGAGAGAUGGUGCAAGGCUUACUUCAAAACCUUUUUCAAGUGUGAUAGUAUGGAUAACAUAAUGUCCGAGAGUUUUAAUGCUUGAGUUUUGAUUCCUAGGAACAAGACAAUUAUUUUAAUGUUGGAAGAAAUCAGGAUAAAAGUGAUGACAAGGGUAAGUAGAGCAAGAAAAUUUGCAGAUUCUUGGACAGAUGACAUAUCUCCAAUGAAAAUGAUGGUGUUCAAUGCAAAUGCAGAAAAAUCAGUGCAGUGCAACAUUGACUGGAAUGGUGAUCAAGGAUUUAAAAUGACUGAAGGGGCAUACAAACAUACUGUGAAUUUGAGGUAAAUAAAUGUAGUUGCAGAUCAUGGGAACUAAAAGAAAUUUCCUGUGCACAUGGUAUAACAGGAAUGAACUACUUAAAUUUGAAUGCAUCACAGGUAAUUUCUAGCUGAUAUAGAAACGAAGCAUAUUUGAAGGCCUAUUCUUACUUUAUUCAGCCAGUUCCAAAUAUGAAAAUGUGGCCAGAUUGCAGGAAUCCUAUGGUUGAGCCACCUGAAGUGACACAAAUGCCUAGUAGGCCAUCAAAGAAAAGAAAGAAAAAAAUUGGUGAAGUGAAAAAAAUUGAAAAAUUGCCAAAAUUUGGGGUAACAAUGAGAUGUUGAAUCUGCAAACAAUCAAAUCAUAACAAGAGGGGAUGUCCACAUAAUCCCAAUUGUAAAUUCAAAUCAGUCACAAAAGAGAGGAAAAAAAACAGCGCAAUCAACAUGGAUGAAACUGAUGAAAAGUGUGGUAACAAGAGGCCAAGAGUUGUGGGUCAAGCUAUCUUUGUUUCUAAAUUUAGAUACACUUAUGUUAAUCAAGAAUUGGCUAGUAGUAGAAAGGUUAAUACAGGCAUAAUGAGUUCGGCACAUGUGACUGAUGAGAGUGGUUAUCAACCAACAAAAAACUGAAGUGGGAAAAUUUACGUGCUAUUACUCAAAGGCAUCUUCAAGUUCAAACAAGAUCAAAAGCUGUUGGAAUUAAGACAAGGGCCCAAUUAUUAGGGAAAUCUCCAACAACAACAAAGAGUACCAAGGCAAAGACUUCAUCAAAGAAAAAUGCAAAGGGCAAGGGAAAAAGUUCUGUUGAUGGUGGUUGUUAGUUGUUGACAUCUCUUAAUUGUUCUACUGUUGGUAUCAUAACCAAAUGAUUGAACUAGUCUUUAUUUAUGUGUUUUGACAUUCUCAUAUUUUGAAGUGCCCGACUUGAUUUUGGUUGAAACA